UACGUAGGCAGCAAGCGUUGUUCGGAGUUACUGGGCGUAAAGGGUGUGUAGGCGGUUGUUUAAGUUUGGUGUGAAAUCUCCCGGCUCAACCGGGAGGGUGCGCCGAAUACUGAAUGACUAGAGUGCGGGAGAGGAAAGUGGAAUUCCUGGUGUAGCGGUGAAAUGCGCAGAUAUCAGGAAGAACACCCGUGGCGAAGGCGGCUCUCUGGGACGGUACUGACGCUCAGGCGCGACAGCGUGGGGAUCAAACAGG
rnacentral:rRNA from 1 species